GGGAAUGUGGCUCAGUGAUAGAGUGCUUGCCUAGCAUGCAUGAGGCUCUAGGUUUGAUCCCAGGUAUUGCAA
rnacentral:tRNA from 1 species